CCCUUAGAUGUUCUGGGCCGCACGCGCGCUACACUGACGAUGGCAACGAGUUUUUCCUUCGCCGAAAGGUGUGGGUAAUCUUUUGAAACAUCGUCGUGCUGGGGAUAGAUCAUUGCAAUUUUUGAUCUUGAACGAGGAAUUCCUAGUAAGCGCGAGUCAUCAGCUCGCGUUGAUUACGUCUCUGCCCUUUGUACACACCGCCCGUCGCUACUACCGAUUGAAUGGUUUAGUGAGGACUCCUGAUUGGCGCCGCCGCCCCGGCAACGGAGCAGCGGACUGCCGAAAAGUUGUUCAAACUUGAUCAUUUAGAGGAAGUAAAAGUCGUAACA
rnacentral:rRNA from 1 species